rnacentral:rRNA from 1 species
UACGUAGGGUGCAGGCGUUAAUCGGAAUUACUGGGCGUAAAGCGUGCGCAGGCGGUCUUUUAAGUCAGAUGUGAAAUCCCCGGGCUUAACCUGGGAACUGCGUUUGAAACUGGAAGGCUUGAGUUUGGGAGAGGGAUGCGGAAUUCCAGGUGUAGCGGUGAAAUGCGUAGGAUAUCUGGAGGAACACCGGUGGCGAAGGCGGCAUCCUGGACCAACACUGACGCUGAGUGAGCGAAAGCCAGGGGAGCAAACAGGAGUUAAGAAACC